GCCUCUGUGGUCUAGUUGGUCAUGACGCCGGUCUCAUAAUCCGGAGGUCGCCAGUUCGAUCCUGGCCGGGGGCA
rnacentral:tRNA from 15 species